GUCCCCCUCAAAUGGUUGUGCAGUCGCUGCAGUGAUUGGAAAAUUUUGGUCUGUCUACGUGUGCUUCAUCAAAUGACAUAGGCAGAGGCAAAAACAGAGCGAGUAGAGCAGGGCCGACGUUAGUUUAAACUGCAUGUUUGGGAAAUGUACACCACAUUUUUGCAACUUCAAGACGAAAUAUAAAGAUACAGAGGAGUGCUCGCCCGGAACCAAAAGGAUUGCCACAUCUGCUGAAGAAAAAGGUCUCUAUGGUGCCAUGCUGGAUUUCUAUCUCCAGCGUCUAUGUUCUUUAUCUCUAUGGAUCUGUAUGACCCCCAGCACCAACACUGGUCUCUACAAGCAUCCUCAACAUGCCCCUGCACCAUGGAUCCCUCAGUGAGGGUUUUGGACCGAGGGAGCUUGUGAGAAAGAAGAUUUGAUUUUUUUUUGUGCCAUCCUCCCUCACUCCCUCCUCUCUCCCUGCCCCAUACAUAUUCACCCGUACCUCCACUUCCCCCCAACGGGGGAAAACUACUCUGCACCUCUUCAACCUGUGCUGAACCAGGAAGGGACAGGACUAGGCCCACCCUCAGAGCCUACAGAGGUGACCAACAAGCUCCCACAGAGAGCAGUCCAGGCCAUUCAAGUCUCCACAAGUCACUGUGCCAGGAUGACAGGGUUGACCUCUUACAAUUCCGUGGUGGGAUUCUGCAUCCUACUGGUGAUCAGAGCUGAAGGUAUUCAAACUGGUCAGAAUCCAGACCACAUGCUCCACGGCACGGGGCACAAGCAUGAGUCCAGGAAGCCCGGAGACGGGCCCACGGUGGCCCAGAAGGACGCGCCCGCUUUCUGAGCUGCUACUGUUCGGGCCACUGUCCAGAGGA